rnacentral:piRNA from 1 species
AGUGUUUUGCCAAGUCACAGACAAU